rnacentral:lncRNA from 1 species
GGGUAGUCCGGAUUGGAGUUGAACCUGGAUGGAAGAAGUCUGGAAGGAAUUCAGGGAACAGCUGAUAGUCGCAGAAAGUCGGCUGGCGAUGGAGCUUAGUGAGCGCUUGGGGCGGCUUAAUAGAUAACUGGGGGAGCUCUUAUUGAAGGAGCUUGGGUGGUGCAGUGGGAGUUCGUCCGUCGGGGGAAUUCAGUCAGCACUGUGGGAAUCUGACUGUUGGAGAAGUCCAGAGAGAAACCAUCUGCGGUUGAAAGCCAGAGGAGUCCUGGGAGGGUCAAUCCUGUUAAGAACUUUGACUGAGGGUAUUUUAUACCCAACAAUACCCAACAGCUGAUAUCAAAAGUUGAAGAUUGUCUUGGAGCAUGAGAGGAUCCUGUAUGUGCUUACGGAUCCAGCACCUGAAGAACCUACUACCAAUGCACCCUGUGCGAUGAGAGAUACUUAUUUGAAGUAGCUCAAUGAUUGCAUGACAGUGUGUUGUAUUAUGAGGACAGCUAUGAAUGAUAAACUUAGCCAUAAGUUCAAGGAUACGCAAU